AAGACACUUUCCUCUCGCGUCUCUUCACCCAGGAGUGCAAUGACUUCAAUUGCAGCUAACCUAUACAGAUCGACUUGCAAUUGUCACGCACUAACGACUUAUGCGUUAGCAGCUCCUGUUUUUCAACGACACGAAGUGAGUUCAAUAGUGGUGUCCGCCAGAAAGAGGAAGAAAACUUGAGGCGAAAUAUGAUCUUCAUAAGUGUCAUCAGCAUCUCGGAUGUAGUUUUCCCAAGAACGAUCAACAGGAAGAUAAGCUGAUCCCAUCUCUAACAUCCCAG